rnacentral:rRNA from 1 species
GAUGAACGCUGGCGGCGUGCCUAAUACAUGCAAGUCGAGCGAACGGACGAGAAGCUUGCUUCUCUGAUGUUAGCGGCGGACGGGUGAGUAACACGUGGAUAACCUACCUAUAAGACUGGGAUAACUUCGGGAAACCGGAGCUAAUACCGGAUGAUAUUUUGAACCGCAUGGUUCAAAAGUGAAAGACGGUCUUGCUGUCACUUAUAGAUGGAUCCGCGCUGCAUUAGCUAGUUGGUAAGGUAACGGCUUACCAAGGAAACGAUGCAUAGCCGACCUGAGAGGGUGAUCGGCCACACUGGAACUGAGACACGGUCCAGACUCCUACGGGAGGCAGCAGUAGGGAAUCUACCGCAAUGGGCGAAAGCCUGACGGAGCAACGCCGCGUGAGUGAUGAAGGUCUUCGGAUCGUAAAACUCUGUUAUUAGGGAAGAACAUAUGUGUAAGUAACUGUGCACAUCUUGACGGUACCUAAUCAGAAAGCCACGGCUAACUACGUG